ACAAACGUCCGCGCCGCCACGUGAUGCGCGCGCUCGUUCCGCGCUCUCCGCGCCUCAGCGAGCGGCCAGGCUGCGGGCGGGGUGGGCUGGCGCUCCUGAUCCACCUGGAACACUUUUGCAAAGACAGACGCGGUUCCUCCUACUUCAGAGCAAGUCUGGGCCAGCUGGGAUCCGACCAGAAAUCGCAAGCGGAGGAGACGCAGUAGCGCAGGCUGAGCGCUAACUGAAGGCGCGACCUGAGCCCGGCGCCUGCUGGGGAGCUGCGCAGCCAGGACAGCGGUCGGCAGCACAGGGCCUGGGCGCAGGGCCCGCCGUCACCACCUCACGUCGGAAGCCAGCACUGCUGCCCGCCAGCCCUGCCGCCUGCCCUCGGACUUCCCAGGGCGCCCAGGGUCCUCCCAACGCGCCUGCACCCACACCCGCCCCUGAGCCACAGUGACCUUGCAUUCCCCGCCCCCUGCCACACCUCCUGCGUGCCCGAGUGUCACCCUUAAAUACCGCUCUACACCCAGAGAGGGACGAAUACACCUCUGAAGACAGGGCAAGACUAAUUUCAAUGGGUCAGAAGGUUCUUGCAGGCACUGUUUUAUUUAAGAGUGCCUAUUUACUGGCAGGAGUAUUUGUGUGGGAGGAAGUAGGCUAAGACUGCUGUUGAACUUGAAGCUAAACUUGAAUGCCAUUUAAAAUAACAAUAAAAAUAUACUUAAAACACCA
rnacentral:lncRNA from 1 species